rnacentral:lncRNA from 1 species
AAACUGCAAAACAAGUACAGGGGCUUCAGUUUAUGUAGUCUAGUAGUCAACAUGGACUAUGCAGGGUCUUCAGUAUGAUGAAAAGCAUAAAACUUUGCUUCAGUUAAUGUAAGCGUUAGUCAACAAAAAUUUCCAUAGUUUUUGAAAGGUCAACAAGCAUUUGUAACAUAAUUGAAAAAAUAAAUAUAAAAGGUGGAUUCCCUGAUGUUUUUGUUAAUUGUUUACUUUUCAGCCAUUAGAGAAAAGCUCAAGAACUCUGCUUAUAUCACUACCAAAUUUGCAAGGAAAACCCAAUUCUGAUGUACUCUGUUUUUUUUUUGGGGAAGACAUUUCUGACGUACUUAAUUGAUAACCAACAUUCAGUUCAAACCUCACAUUGGUUCUUUCAUCAAUUUACUGAGAAGUGACAUGCCCGUUCAAUCUGGAAUUAAGUUUGGCACAUCUAUUAUCCAAAAGUGUAGCUUGGGAUUCAAUUGCUAGGGAAGAGAAAUACAACCACCCAACCGAACAAGGCUAUACAGGCUGACAAUUAAAGUAACUAGAUUCACAAGAAAAAACAGAUUAAAUAAAUGUUCUAUUAAAAAGGAAACAGUAUAUAAAGGCGAUGAAUAAGAAGAAAAGCUAUUAAAACAAAACCUUGUGUAGUAGGAAAGUUUGUCCAUCCACCGAUACUGUUACAUCCUCUGCGACAUCUGAAAAUAUCCUGCACAACAGGCAAUGUUCCAGAAGUUUCAGGCAGCAAGAUCUGUAUUUGAAUUGGCAAUAUGUAAACUUGAAGCAUAGAGUUUUUAACAACAAUACACCACUUUGCCUUAGCUAUACACUCCUGAGAACACCAAAUGCUGAAGAAACAACUAAUGACAACAAAUCAUUCCAGUCAAUGCUGCAAGUACUUGAACUCUGCUUGUACCAUAAUACUGUUGAUGAAUUUCUCAAGAAACUUCUUAAAUCUUGUGACUUUCUAGGGAGCACAAAAGAUUAGGAAUGCAUCUGAUGACCCUUCGAGGAGCAAAAGCAUUUUCAGAGUAGCAGUUUUGUGAGUCCUUCCAAAACCUUCAACCGGUUCAACCCUGAAGAUGGCAUUUUGCCUCCUCCCCGUAGUUCCGUUCCGGCGUUCCCCUGAAUGCGUCGUGUUCGUAGAAACAAACUGGUGGGUGGUGGCGCUAGGGCGGCGUCCAAAUCAGUUGAGAUUUCAGAAUGGAAUACAGACUUGAGCGAUCGCAGCGAAAACCAAAAAUCUCAAACAAGAAAAGCCGCCGCCGCCGCAAAUGGUGAGGUGAUCUAAGACUAUGAAGGCAUUGCAAUCAACAUGCAAAGCCGAUUGAACUCAGGAAGGAAAAAGUGGAAAAUGGAGCAGGAGAUGGGAAUCCUCACCUCCUAUGGCUGAUGGGGUUGCGGAAGCGCGGGGACGUCGUGGUGGUAGCGAAGGGAAACACGGCGUUGUCGCUUCCCAUCCCCAUUGCUUUGCCGCCGAUUCUUCUUCCUUCUCUUCCUCUCCCUCCCUCCCUCUCUCUCUCUGAAAUGUGAGCGAUGUGGAGGAGAAGAGGACGAGGAGCAAGAAUAGUCGGCUGGUCGUCGGCGCGUGGCAUUAACAAAUUCUCAAAGAAAAGAAAGCAGCAAGGUGAGACGACACGACAGAGCAUUCCUGUGUCUUGAUGUGGGUGGAUUAGCUGAGGAUGGAACAGAGAAAAGUGACUCGACGGAGGAAUAGUUGGGUGACUAGGGAACAACCCCUGCUCCACUGUCAGCUUGUGGCUGCUUCAUCAUUGAAGCCUUCAAAGGGGUCUAGAUCUUGUGUGGCUGCUUGCUUCGCGUGAAUUAUGGAAACACAGUAGUUCUGCAGAAACUGUUUAAAUUCUCCGAGAUUCCUAAUGAAUCAUACACUUUAGGAAGAGUGUUUGGUGUAAUCACUUUCUUACCACUGUACUCCCUCCGUCUAUGUUUACAAGGUAUAUACUUCCUCCAUCUAUAUUUACGAGACAUAAUAUGAUUUGGCAAGAUUUUCCAAAUAACACUUUGACUAUUCAUUUAUCUCAUAUUAUAUUAUUUAUGGCUAUAAACUUAUAAUACAAAUUCAACUAUAUAAAAUUUACAUUAUAAAAAUAAAAAUUUAAUAGUCAAACUAUUAAUAAAAGGUUGUAAAGUUUGAAUUUUGAUAUGCGUGUGCGCCUUAUUGGGAUCGAGUAUCGAACAAUGAGGCUCACGGUUCUCGGUCAUGCCAUCGGUUCAAAGUGGUUAAAUAAAAAUAUAUAUUUGACACUAAUCAAAAGCGAAUAUAAGGUUGGGUGGUGUGUUAGAAAGUCGCAAAGUCCAAGUUUUGAAUGAAUACCGUAUUCGAUCUCUGCAAUUUUUAUUUGAUUUGAGAAAACCAAUGUUUUAAUUUAUCACCAGUCAUUUCUCGCAUAUAAGAAUACGGAAACAAACACCAGAAUAUAAAUAUAGCUGGCACUAAAUCCACGAAAGCAUGCAAAACAAAUAAAGUAGCGGUAGUAGUAGUAUAUUGUGCUAGAGAGUAGCUAGGGACUAUGGAGUCGGGUAGAAGGCUGGCUGUCUGUCGGUGAAGAAAGGAAAUGAUGGUGAAGCAUGUUGGCUGGCUGCUUGCCCACCCAUCGAGGCCGAGAGUGAGAGGACAGUGGUACGCUUUUCCGCUUUCACUUUAGCAGGCCUGCCAUCACCAAGAGCUAGCACCCGCGAGAGGUGAGGUGCCUUUCAUCAGCUUUUGCGGUUUGGCUAGAGGAAGAGCAUAGUGCAGUGCUCGUGAGUAAUCAUUCCAUUUACAAAAUAUCAUAUAAAAUGCCGUAUAAUUUGAAACGGAGGGAAUCCUUGAGCAUUGUAUAACGAGUAGGCAUAUGGCUUGCUUUGCUUGCCAUAGUUGUAGUAGACCACGAGGUAACGUUAGACGACUUGCGUUAGCUGCUUUUGUCAACCGUACGUUGCAUUUUGAUCAGCAUCGAUGCGCAACGACUUUUGCUGGUGGUAGGAAAGGGCAGGGAUAACAUGAUGAUCAAGGGCAGGCAACGUGACAUGAUCAACGGCCCGGCACAGAACUCGAGAAAGGGUAGUGAGUGCUGGAGAAGAGGCGCGCUUUUAAUUUUCUCCUUGCUGUCCCCAUCGCCCAUCGAUCGGCAUCUCCUCGCCCCCUCGCGCCCAACGAACAGUUCUUGCAGUCAAUGUGAAUGCAAAUCUCUCCGGUUGCUUUCAGCCUUCAACCCUUUUGAUCUCGUUGUCGCCGUCAAGAUUCUCGGUUACCGAUUAUGUGCAGGGGCUUCAGUUUAUGCAGGGGUGUUUGGAUACUACGUGCUAAACUUUAGUAGUGUCAUAUCUAUUGGGGGAAAUAUUAACGACCUUCUUAUGUCCCUUAAAACAACAAUUAUGAAGACCCAGGCCCACCAGCGGUAAUGACGAUCACCGUCGACCCGGCAUGGGCAAGGAGCACCUCACUCCGUCUCGCCCGACCCCUCGAUGGCAAAACUCUGUCUCGCCCGACUCACGGUCCCAGGGUCGGGUACACCCGACCCCUCGCCACAAGGCUCCGCCUCGUCCGACCCCGGGCGUAGGGGGUUGGACUCAUCCGAGCCCACAAGACAAGGGUCCGCCUCGGGCGCAGACCGGCAGACAAGGGCGCGGAUCUCGUGGGCCCCCACCGAUCUUGCCAUAAAUGCGCCGCGGCUCUGGCGCGGAGAAAGGUGCCCGCGCCCCUCGACGUGACCCGCCACAAGUACCCGGUCGGAACACUGUAGCCACGACCGCACAGGCUACAGUGGUCGCGGCUCCCCCUGAUUCGCCAUAGGGCACUCAUUGCAUGCGCCGCCCGGCACAAGAGGGAGCGCCGUCCGUUCUCGUGCUCGGCCUAUCCGGCGAUAGGUACGCGACGUCCGUGUUCCACGGGUCGUAAGCAGGACAACAGGGGUCAACCGUCUCCCCCAACGUGCACAGUGGCCACGGCCGAACACCAUCAUCAUGCUCGGCGGCGAUGGUCCCCCGAAGGAUCGUCGACAGGAUCCGGCGACAGCCGCCCUCCUCCGAUGGCCACGCUGACAGGAGCCGAAGGCCGGAGCAGGAGGCGGCGAUCUGGGGACUUGGUCCUUCUCCUCGUAUUUUACUUUACUUAGCUUAUCUCUUUUUUACUUCUCCACACACCUGGCUGACCUGUAACCCCGGUACCCUCCUUGUGCUAUAAAAGGAGAACCAGGGGCCCCGAGACCGAAAAAAAGAGCCAACAGAACCCACACACUCACCUCACAAGCAUCAGUGCAUACCCAAGAGACUUGGGACCGGCUCCCUCUCUUACCUGUUUGUAACCCCUACUACAGACCACGCGUGAGUAACACGAGCAGCUCCUCAUACUAGACGUAGGGCUUUCCUUGCCCGAACCAGUCUAACCCCGUGUCCUCUCACGCCACCAUCCGAAACCUUACGCGCAUAAAAGAAAUUUACUAGCUGUAGUCUUGAUCCGCUAAUCUCGACAACGACAACAUCGGAUGUUCAGAUGCUAAUUAGGAGGACUAAAUAUGAGCUAAUUAUAAAACUAAUUACAUAGAUGGAGUCUAAUUCGCGAGAUGAAUCUCUUAAGUCUAAUUAAUCCAUUAUUAGCAAAUGGUUACUGUAGCACCAUAUUGUCAAAUCAUGAACUAAUUAGGCUUAAUAGAUUCGUCUCGCGAAUUAGACUCCAUCUGUGCAAUUAGUUUUGUAAUUAACAUAUGUUUAAUACUCCUAAUUAGUAUCCAAACAUCCGAUGUGAUAGGUGCUAAACUUUAGCAGGUGGUAUCCAAACACCCCCUGGUAGUCAACAUGGACUAUGCGGGGGCUUCAGUAUGAUGAAAAGCAUAAACUUUGCUUCAGUUAACGUAAGCAUUUGUCAACAAAAAUUUCCAUAGAUUUUGAAAGGUCAACAAGCAUUUGUAGCAUAAUUGACAAAAUAAAUAUAAAAGGUGGAUUCCCUGAUGUUUUUGUUAAUUGUUUACUUUUCAGCCAUUAGAGAAAAGCUCAAGAACUCUGCUUAUAUCACUACCAAAUUUGCAAGGAAAACCCAAUUCUGAUGUACUCUGUUUUUUUUUUUGGCAAGACAUUUCUGACGUACUUAAUUGAUAACCAACAUUCAGUUCAAACCUCACAUUGGUUCUUUCAUCAAUUUACUGAGAAGUGACAUGCCCGUUCAAUCUGGAAUUAAGUUUGGCACAUCUAUUAUCCAAAAGUGUAGCUUGGGAUUCAAUU